AUUGAACGCUGGCGGAAUGCUUUACACAUGCAAGUCGAACGGCAGCACGGACUUCGGUCUGGUGGCGAGUGGCGAACGGGUGAGUAAUACAUCGGAACGUGCCCAAUCGUGGGGGAUAACGUAGCGAAAGCUACGCUAAUACCGCAUACGAUCUAAGGAUGAAAGCGGGGGCUCGCACGACCUCGCGCGAUUGGAGCGGCGUAUGGCAGAUUAGGUAGUUGGUAGGGUAAAGGCCUACCAAGCCGACGAUCUGUAGCUGGUCUGAGAGGAUGAUCAGCCACACUGGGACUGAGACACGGCCCAGACUCCUACGGGAGGCAGCAGUGGGGAAUUUUGGACAAUGGACGCAAGUCUGAUCCAGCCAUUCCGCGUGCAGGAUGAAGGCCCUCGGGUUGUAAACUGCUUUUGUACAGAACGAAAAGGCUCUGGUUAAUACCUAGGGCUCAUGACGGUACUGUAAGAAUAAGCACCGGCUAACUACGUGCCAGCCGCCGCCGUAA
rnacentral:rRNA from 1 species